rnacentral:rRNA from 1 species
GACGAACGCUGGCGGCGUGCUUAACACAUGCAAGUCGAACGGAAAGGCCCUGCUUUUGUAGGGUGCUCGAGUGGCGAACGGGUGAGUAGCACGUGAGUAACCUGCCCUUGACUUUGGGAUAACUUCAGGAAACUGGGGCUAAUACCGGAUAGGAGCUCCUGCUGCAUGGUGGGGGUUGGAAAGUUUCGGCGGUUGGGGAUGGACUCGCGGCUUAUCAGCUUGUUGGUGGGGUAGUGGCUUACCAAGGCUUUGACGGGUAGCCGGCCUGAGAGGGUGACCGGCCACAUUGGGACUGAGAUACGGCCCAGACUCCUACGGGAGGCAGCAAUGGGGAAUAUUGCACAAUGGGCGGAAGCCUGAUGCAGCAACGCCGCGUGCGGGAUGACGGCCUUCGGGUUGUAAACCGCUUUCGCCUGUGACGAAGCGUGAGUGACGGUAAUGGGUAAAGAAGCACCGGCUAACUACGUG